rnacentral:rRNA from 1 species
CAGACGGGUGAGUAACGCGUGGGGAACAUACCUUUUGGUUCGGAACAACACAGGGAAACUUGUGCUAAUACCGGAUAAGCCCUUACGGGGAAAGAUUUAUCGCCGAAAGAUUGGCCCGCGUCUGAUUAGCUAGUUGGUGAGGUAACGGCUCACCAAGGCGACGAUCAGUAGCUGGUCUGAGAGGAUGAUCAGCCACAUUGGGACUGAGACACGGCCCAAACUCCUACGGGAGGCAGCAGUGGGGAAUAUUGGACAAUGGGCGCAAGCCUGAUCCAGCCAUGCCGCGUGAGUGAUGAAGGCCCUAGGGUUGUAAAGCUCUUUUGUGCGGGAAGAUAAUGACGGUACCGCAAGAAUAAGCCCCGGCUAACUUCGUGCCAGCAGCCGCGGUAAUACGAAGGGGGCUAGCGUUGCUCGGAAUCACUGGGCGUAAAGGGUGCGUAGGCGGGUCUUUAAGUCAGGGGUGAAAUCCUGGAGCUCAACUCCAGAACUGCCUUUGAUACUGAAGAUCUUGAGUUCGGGAGAGGUGAGUGGAACUGCGAGUGUAGAGGUGAAAUUCGUAGAUAUUCGCAAGAACACCAGUGGCGAAGGCGGCUCACUGGCCCGAUACUGACGCUGAGGCACGAAAGCGUGGGGAGCAAACAGGAUUAGAUACCCUGGUAGUCCACGCCGUAAACGAUGAAUGCCAGCCGUUAGUGGGUUUACUCACUAGUGGCGCAGCUAACGCUUUAAGCAUUCCGCCUGGGGAGUACGGUCGCAAGAUUAAAACUCAAAGGAAUUGACGGGGGGCCCGCACAAGCGGUGGAGCAUGUGGUUUAAUUCGACGCAACGCGCAGAACCUUACCAGCCCUUGACAUCCCGGUCGCGGACUCCAGAGACGGAGUUCUUCAGUUCGGCUGGACCGGAGACAGGUGCUGCAUGGCUGUCGUCAGCUCGUGUC